GUUAUUAGCCCUGAUUGGUUGUUUUGACCGUCAUCCAGAUCUCUGGCCUAUGACAAUUCAGCGCGCACUUUUCAACAUUUCAAACUCCUGCAGCCGGUAGUAUUUGCUGAUGCUGCUGGAGGGAGGAGUUCACUCUGCAGAACUGCAGCAGUACAUCGGUUGGUCCACUACUGACUUUUACUAUAAUUGGUUACCUCUAUCGGGUAUUUUUUUAUUCGGUUGAACUUAAGUUAGAAAACAUAAUAUGGACAAAGACUUUUACCAACGGGUACCGGACAUAUGGAAAACUGCAGCAGGAUCUACUGUGGAUCGCUGGGACUUAAGUCAAAAUGAGACCGAGAAUGUGUUUUAUCUCAAGCUGCUCCAGAGAAGUCUCCUACCACGCCAUACAUAAGAUCAACAUUGAAGCAUUGUUUACAGUAAGAAUAGGCACCAACAGAAAGACAAAUCCAACACUAAUGCACCAAGGAUCAAGGUGAUUUUUGGCAGCUUGGAGAAUUUUUCUUUAUCUGUCACAUCUGGUACAGAAUCUCUGACAUUUUGGUAUUUGUAAUGUUUAUUUUAUUAUAUUUGUAUACUUAUGCUAGAUAUUAAUAUACUUGUAUAGUUACUGUAUGUUUCUGAAUUAAAAGAUAGCCCCAGGUAAAAAUGUAAAACUGAUAUAAUACUGAUAUUGAAAAUACAAGCUAAAAUGGCACAAUUUGUUGCUUUCUCCACCUGUUUCACAAAUGAAAACAUUUUAUAUGCACAGA